UACGUAGGCAGCGAGCGUUGUUCGGAAUUACUGGGCGUAAAGAGUGUGUAGGCGGUGUUCCCAGUCUGUUGUGAAAUCUCCCGGCUUAACUGGGAGGGUGCAGCGGAAACUAGAAUGCUAGAGGGUGGGAGAGGUAAGCGGAAUUCCUGGUGUAGCGGUGAAAUGCGUAGAUAUCAGGAGGAACACCGGUGGCGAAGGCGGAUCUCUGGGCCAUUACUGACGCUGAGGAGCGAAAGCGUGGGGAGCAAACAGG
rnacentral:rRNA from 1 species